CGCGCCCAACUCACUACCGUGGCGAUGGAGGAGGCCCGGAUCGACGUCGCGUCGCUGCGGGACACGGUGCAGCGGCUCGAGGCCAGCGUCGUCGUCGUCGCCGCCGCCAAGCCAAGGGGCCGCUUCGACCGUGACCUGCAGCGGGUCAGCGGCGAGCUGCGGGUGGCGCUGGCCGCUGAGGAGAAGAACAAGCGGGCCAUGGAGAAGUUGGUGCUGGCGCUCAAGGAGGUGAACGCGGAGCUGCACACCACGCGGCAGCAGCUGGCGCACGCGCAGCACGAGUCGGAGACGGCGAGGCUGGAGUCGGACCGGCUGCACGUGUCCCUGAAGCUCAAGGACGACAAGGUCCGCGCGCUAUCCGACGAUGUGGCCCGCCUCCGCUCCGACGCCGAGGAGGCGUUCGCCGCGUUCCGGGGCAAGGAGGUCGGGUUCACGGCGUGCAUGAAGUCGUCGGAGGCGGAGCUCGCCGCGUCCCGGCGCGAGAACGCGCGGCUCCUCGAGUCGCAGCGGUCCGGGCGGCACGAGGUGGCCAAGCUGAAGCAGGCCGUCAAGGACACCAAGUUCGACAAGGAGGCGCUGGAGGAGGCGAGGAGCGAGAACGCCAUGCUCAAGGAGAUGGUCGGGAGCAAGGACACCACCGUCAAGUGCAACAAGGAGGAGCUGGAGUGCCUCCGGGUGAGCGAGGCCGCGGCGCGCGACAGCGUCAAGGAGCUGCAAAGCCUGCUGGUGGCCACGUCGGUGAGCCCCACCCCCACGCCGUCCGCGGUGGCGGGAGCGGGAAGGUCGUUCGACCUGGAGGACCUAUCGUCGCCGUCGCCGCGGACGCCGACGGACGGGAUCGACGGGAUCGCACUAGAGUAG
rnacentral:rRNA from 1 species